AGAUCUGAAUCUCUUCUGACCUUGGCUUUCUCUUCCUGUAGACACAUAUGCUCCUCUGACAGACACCUCUAAACAUACUAAGCGUAAGUCACUGGUGGGUAAAGUAAGUGCUCCUCAAUGUAAUAUUAGUUAUGUGAAAGAGUGCAUUUUUAUGCAUAUCAGUCUGUAACUGUUAAUGACUUAAACCAAACCUUUACAGAAAAAAAUGCAAAUAAAGACAUUAACCCAAGGUACAGGAAUGUACGGUGUGAAACAGCAGCUCAAGAAUACCCAGAAUGCAUUGUUAACCCUGAGUAAAUGUAAACCCAGGAUUUCAUUUACCCAGGGUUUAGAAUGACCCAGAGAUAACUAUUACUUUUUUUUUUAGAACGGUUAAAAUCCAUUUAAAAUGAUUGCUUAAAAAUACUGUUGUUCCUUGUCACUUCACAGUUUACAUUUGGUGUGAGCAGCUCAUUUUGAUGUGAAAUGUAUUUGUUUUUUAGAUAUUGAAUACGGAGCCUUGUCUGGUAAUAGACUCUUCUUUUCAUUCUCUCGUUUCAGUGCUGUCUUAAUGUUCUGUUUGUGUCUGUAUGCAUGUGUGUUUUUGUAUUUCCACUCCACAUGCUUUUCUAAUCCCUUUACAGUUUAAUUUGAGGAGUUGAUUUGACCUAAUUAAGGUGUGAAAUGUACAGGUUUUUUUGUUUUAGUGAGAAUGUGGUAAGUGGUUCUUUUCAAUCUGUGUGGGUUUCGUGUUUUUCCAGGAAUGUGUUGGUGGUAUUUUCUAAAACAGACGUCACAACAUCAGUUCAGUAGCAUUCACUGGAAAUGACUGAGUACUAAAAGUGCUGAGUGUACCUCUUUUUAUGGGUUCAUUGACAAAAAAAAAAAAACAAUACAAAGGAAAUAGCAAAAUUGUUUCUGGCCAAAGAUGUUAAUUUCAAUCAUUCUUUAUUUCAAAGCUUUUCGUGUUUUUUUAGUUCUGUAGGAAGUGUCUGUUCUCUGCAGUUUCUCUGAAUCUGUUCUGAUCUUAUCUUUCUCUGCUUGUAGGCGCUCGAUGGGUUCAGACAUCGGCAUCUAAACAAGCUAAGCCUAAAUCACUGCUGGGGAAACUGCGUCAAGCCCUGUCUCUUAAUCAUGAUGAGGGUGCUGGCGUAUUUUCGGCAGAUGUAGCAGAUUCCAAAAUGUUUUUACACUCAAAGGGCCAGGAUUAUUAUUCAGUAUUGGUAAUGACGAGAAAGUGUUAAAUCUAACACACACACACACACACACAC